rnacentral:rRNA from 1 species
UACGUAGGGCGCAAGCGUUGUCCGGAAUUAUUGGGCGUAAAGAGCUCGUAGGCGGUCUGUCGCGUCCGUUGUGAAAACUCGAGGCUCGACCUCGGGCUUGCAGUGGAUACGGGCAGACUAGAGUGCGGUAGGGGAGACUGGAAUUCCUGGUGUAGCGGUGGAAUGCGCAGAUAUCAGGAGGAACACCGAUGGCGAAGGCAGGUCUCUGGGCCGCAACUGACGCUGAGGAGCGAAAGCAUGGGGAGCGAACAGG